AGAGCAAGUUGAGGACAGUGACUUCCACAUGAUUUACGGAAACGAUGACACCAGUCCCUGUGGAACCCCCCAGAUGAGCUCUCCUUCUACAAGUACAUCCUCCUUGCCUUUGAUGCAACCAAGUCAAGAGGAUUUGCUCCAACAGCGUUUGGUCUUCAGAAGAACUCUGCUGUCCAUCUGGAAGAUGGUGACUGGACACAGAUUCAGUGGACCUUUCUUGAAGGCUGUUUCGGAGAGGCAGGCUCCUGGUUACAAUGAAG